rnacentral:rRNA from 1 species
GAUGAACGCUGGCGGCGUGCCUAAUACAUGCAAGUCGAGCGAACGGACGAGAAGCUUGCUUCUCUGAUGUUAGCGGCGGACGGGUGAGUAACACGUGGAUAACCUACCUAUAAGACUGGGAUAACUUCGGGAAACCGGAGCUAAUACCGGAUAAUAUUUUGAACCGCAUGGUUCAAAAGUGAAAGACGGUCUUGCUGUCACUUAUAGAUGGAUCCGCGCUGCAUUAGCUAGUUGGUAAGGUAACGGCUUACCAAGGCAACGAUGCAUAGCCGACCUGAGAGGGGGAACGGGCACACUGGAACUGAGACACGGUCCAGACUCCUACGGGAGGCAGCAGUAGGGAAUCUUCCGCAAUGGGCGAAAGCCUGACGGAGCAACGCCGCGUGAGUGAUGAAGGUCUUCGGAUCGUAAAACUCUGUUAUUAGGGAAGAACAUAUGUGUAAGUAACUGUGCACAUCUUGACGGUACCUAAUCAGAAAGCCACGGCUAACUACGUG